GGGGGCGCAACGGUUUCGACGGUGAUAUUAGUGCUAUAAGCUGCAUGCCGAGGAUGCUUUGUAGGCUCGUUAAUCAUUCAAAGCAAAACAUAAUCGCAGAUAACUACGAUUACGCAUUAGCCGCUUAAUCGGCUAACGUCUUUGAAAUUUCUACCUGCAAAAUUCAAAGGCGACAACUGCAGGGUAUAGGUUUGACGUUUCCUUUUCGUCAAAUCCGAAUCUUUAAAAGGACGACGAAGAAAGGUUUUGUUUAUUCUUUGCUUUCAUAAGCCGUAUUUAAAGAAUAAACUAAGCAUGUAGAAGCUUUAGUUUUAAAUCUUCGGACGCGGGUUCGACUCCCGCCGCCUCCACCA
rnacentral:tmRNA from 1 species